UACGGAGGGGGCUAGCGUUGUCCGAAGUUACUGGGCGUAAAGCGCGCGUAGGCGGGUUGGUAAGUCCGCUGUGAAAGCCCGGAGCUCAACUCCGGAGGGUCGGUGGAUACUGCCAGUCUUGAAGGUGGCUAGGGGGAGAUGGAAUUACCGGUGGUAGCGGUGAAAUGCGUAGAUAUCGGUAGGAACACCAGUGGCGAAGGCGGUCUCCUGGGGCAUUCUUGACGCUGGAGGCGCGAAAGCUGGGGGAGCGAACGGGAUUAGAUAC
rnacentral:rRNA from 1 species